rnacentral:piRNA from 1 species
UGAUGGAAUCCCUGGUGGGAUGAGAGA